rnacentral:rRNA from 1 species
UACGUAGGGUGCUAGCGUUGUCCGGAUUUAUUGGGCGUAAAGAGCUCGUAGGCGGUCCGUCACGUCGGCUGUGAAAUCCCGAGGCUCAACCUCGGGUCUGCAGUCGAUACGGGCAAACGAGAGUAUUGCAGGGGAGACUGGAAUUCCUGGUGUAGCGGUGAAAUGCGCAGAUAUCAGGAGGAACACCGGUGGCGAAGGCGGGUCUCUGGGCAAUAACUGACGCUGAGGAGCGAAAGCGUGGGGAGCGAACAGG